CAUACAUAUCCAUAGUCUAUUCUCUAUUUUUCCUAGAAAACAUUGUGAGCAAUGAUGAGAGCUGGCUCUGAACAAUGACUAGGAAUUAAGUUUAUCAUUAUGGAAGGAUUUUUUCUGUGGUUGGAACCAGAAGUACCAGGGCAUUACAAUUUCUGGAGAGCAUC
rnacentral:lncRNA from 1 species